CGUACGUGGAGAACCUGCCGUAUACUGGGGGAUAACACUUAGAAAUAGGUGCUAAUACCGCAUAAGCGCACAGCUUCGCAUGAAGCAGUGUGGAAAACAAAAAAGCUAAAGCUUUUGGUGGUAUACGAUGGAUCCGCGUCUGAUUAGCUUGUUGGCGGGGUAAAGGCCCACCAAGGCGACGAUCAGUAGCCGGCCUGAGAGGGUGAACGGCCACAUUGGGACUGAGACACGGCCCAAACUCCUACGGAAGGCAGCAG
rnacentral:rRNA from 1 species